rnacentral:tRNA from 1 species
UGGCGAAUCGUCUAACGGUAGGACAGAGGAUUCUGGCUCCUCCAGUCCAGGUUCGAAUCCUGGUUCGCCAGCCA